rnacentral:rRNA from 1 species
UAGGGAAUCUUCGGCAAUGGACGGAAGUCUGACCGAGCAACGCCGCGUGAGUGAAGAAGGUUUUCGGAUCGUAAAGCUCUGUUGUAAGAGAAGAACGAGUGUGAGAGUGGAAAGUUCACACUGUGACGGUAACUUACCAGAAAGGGACGGCUAACUACGUGCCAGCAGCCGCGGUAAUACGUAGGUCCCGAGCGUUAUCCGGAUUUAUUGGGCGUAAAACGAGCGCAGGCGGUUAGAUAAGUCUGAAGUUAAAGGCUGUGGCUUAACCAUAGUACGCUUUGGAAACUGUUUAACUUGAGUGCAGAAGGGGAGAGUGGAAUUCCAUGUGUAGCGGUGAAAUGCGUAGAUAUAUGGAGGAACACCGGUGGCGAAAGCGGCUCUCUGGUCUGUAACUGACGCUGAGGCUCGAAAGCGUGGGGAGCAAACAGGAUUAGAUACCCUGGUAGUCCACGCCGUAAACGAUGAGUGCUAGGUGUUGGGUCCUUUCCGGGACUCAGUGCCGCAGCUAACGCAUUAAGCACUCCGCCUGGGGAGUACGACCGCAAGGUUG